UACGAAGGGGGCUAGCGUUGUUCGGAAUCACUGGGCGUAAAGCGCACGUAGGCGGAUUGUUAAGUCGGGGUGAAAUCCUGAGGCUCAACCUCAGAACUGCCUUCGAUACUGGCAAUCUCGAGUCCGGAAGAGGUUGGUGGAACAGCUAGUGUAGAGGUGAAAUUCGUAGAUAUUAGCUAGAACACCAGUGGCGAAGGCGGCCAACUGGUCCGGUACUGACGCUGAGGUGCGAAAGCGUGGGAGCAAACAGG
rnacentral:rRNA from 1 species